UGAAAAUCAAUUAUCCCUUCCAAUUUUUACAAGCCACUUGUCCACACCUCUGAUUUCGUAUGGAGUUGGAUAGAAUGAAUGAAUGAAUAGCGCACAAUGGAAGGCAGGCAGGCAGGACGAGCACUGGAUAUGUAUGUGGUUGAGUGCUGUUAAAUGUAUCGGAGGGUGAGAGUGUGAGAAUGAUUUUAUGUAGGUCUGUUUGUGGACAAGUACUUGAAACUUGAUAGUGUAAUGAAGAAUGGUAUGGGUGUUCGAGGCCGUAGUGAGCAGCAGUGGCUGUGUUGGAAGGACGACAUGAAUAUACUACAACUAAUCCCCAGUCAUUUGUGGCCAUUUAAGAUCUUGCGUCUUUGAUAUUAAUCCACAUUGCCACACAACAAGGACUCCGUAUAAUAAAUUAGUACUUAGUUUUUAUUGUCAAGUCAUGGCAGUGGCUGGUUGGCAGGCUGCUUGGCCAUACACGCCUCAUCACUUGCCGCAGAGAUAAUGCCCGAAUUAUUUGUCGACCAAAAUGAAACGAAGCCAACAUUUAGAAGCGAUAAUUAAGAGUACUUUCUCAUAAACUUAUUGCCUAUGCCAUGACCCCUGCAAGGAGGAUGAUAUAUUCACUACGUCAUGGUAUGGUUGAGUGAAUGGAUUUUG